rnacentral:rRNA from 1 species
GUGUGAGAAGAACACCCUCUUUUGGGAGGGCUUGACGGUAUCACACGAUAAGCACCGGCUAACUCCGUGCCAGCAGCCGCGGUAAUACGGAGGGUGCAAGCGUUGUCUGGGAAUCACUGGGUGUAAAGGGUGUGUAGGCGGGACUGUAAGUCAGAGGUGAAAGCCCACGGCUCAACCGUGGAAUUGCCUUUGAUACUGCAGUUUUUGAAUCCUGGAGAGGUCGCUAGAAUCCGUGGUGUAGCGGUGAAAUGCGUAGAUAUCACGAGGAAUACCAGAGGCGUAGGCGGGUGACUGGACAGGUAUUGACGCUGAGGCACGAAAGCGUGGGGAGCAAACAGGAUUAGAUACCCUGGUAGUCCACGCUGUAAACGAUGGAUGCUCGGUGUUGCUUGCCUUUGUGCGAGCAGCGCCUAAGCUAACGCGUUAAGCAUCCCACCUGGGGAGUACGCUCGCAAGAGUG